AAGCAGCAGUCGCACCACUUCAGUCUUGCCAUAGAGGGAAGCCUCGUGCAGAGACGUCCCCGCUUUGGUGGCUCUGUUUAUGUCGAUACCGGCUUUGAGCAGCAACCUGGGUAAUCAAAGCAGAAAACGCUCAUAGGCCCAGAUAAGGGAACGCUGACAGCGUCGCAUCCAGAGAGCGGUGCAGCAGGAGGAGGUCCUCAGCCUCGCAACGCUGGAGCUCUGCUCCUAUUUCCAUUCAGCUGUCAAACAAGUUAGGUUUAGACAAAACAAAACAGAAUUCUAAUCAUCAUCAUCAUCAUCAUCAAUUACAGGCUGAACAACUACAACAAGGAGCAUGACGAUAACAGUGUGACUUCUGUAAAUGAUUGACGUCGCCUCAAAGACAGUUCCAUUAUUGUGGAGUAAGGGUGUUUUCACACCUGUAGUUUGUUUACUCUGGUCAGGAUCAGGGACCAAAUUGUUCCAAUGUUGCAUAUUCCCUCGAGUUUGGUUUGUGUUUACACGGCAGCGUUUACUAAGCAAAGAAACUGCUCUCUAAUUGGUCAGAAUUUCCAUAAUGGAAAACUCUUGGAAGUAAACAAAGAAGAGCAGACUUCCAGAACGCAACAAUGGAUGGACAACUACGCAACAAUGGAGGGACAACUACACGGCUUGAUCUUGGCCCUGGCCAUCUUUUUUUUUACCUCGUAGCAAUUUUUCACUCAAGGCAAACGAUACAGUUUGAAAAUGAGGCGCGGCUGCGACUGGAAAACAAUGUAUUGAUGCACUUGAGUCGCCGAAGGCGCAUAUCAAGAGGUACGGAGGACGGAGGAGGAGGUGUGCAUCAACUCUCCUAAACUGUGACAUGCUAAUCGGCCGAAAAUAUUUCCGAAGAUCCAUCAGGUAUGCCCGUGGUCUUCAACACAGCCUGACGUUACACCUGUUUAGUACUGAUGGCAAGCGUAGGCUCUUUUGUAGUAAUGUUGUCUGGUGUCUAGUGUUGACAUGCACAGCGCAGCUCGCUACCGCAGCUGGUUUAAUCCAAAAAGGUGCAAUGCUGUCUCCAGUUGGGCCGGAUAGAAGUCACAAAAAAGUAUUUUUCCUAACAGCGGCCCCAUUUCUCUGUUACAAGACUGAAAGAUUCCUUCGACUACAACAGAAAUAUGUUUACAUUUGCAAAAAUGAAACAAGUGCAAAGAUGUUAACUCAGCCUUUUGUUUGAUCUGCCUGUGUCUGUAAAAAGCAAAACGGUGACUUGUGAAAUGUGAAUGCUGCUGACAAACUAAUUUGACUUAACAGGAUCCCGCUAAGUGGGACACCCAUAGAAAUAGACACCACAGGGGGUUGGACAGACAGGAGAAAUAUCAAACCAUGAAGUAUGAUGAAAAACGGAGCCUGAAGGGAACCUAUUGUAGCAUGCACCUUCUUUCUUUACUCAGCAGCAACAGUUUUAAUCUUGCUAUGACACCUUGAGAAGGCGGAAUGUAUGUCAUAAAGCGUAGACUUCUCCAUCUCUGUCAUGCAGAUAAGCAGCUGAUUUACUCUUAUACUCUAUCUGCAAUGCAUGUAUACAUGAAGUAUAGAACAGUGAUUCCCAAAGUGGGGUCCAGGGACCCCAGGGGUCCAUGUCAGGGGGCCCACGAAAUAAUUUGCUAUAAAUUAUAAAACUGUGCUGUAUCAUUAAAAAGUACAUAUCUCCAGAUGAGGACCA